GUGGAAUUGUGGUGGCACAGCACGUUAGGAAAAGCUGGCCUCGCGCUCCUCACUCUGUCCUCCAUGUCAGCAGAUUUUCUACUGUAAGUUACUUCUUAUUUAGAUGUUAAAGCUCUCAGAAAUAUAAUUCUGUGUUACUUCAGUGAAUUCUUUGUUUCAGAGAGGUCAGCUAGCGAGUCCUUUUGCUCGAGCCUCAGCUUUAAUAACAGCGGGGAAUAAGGUUCAAGGCCUCUUCAGAUAUUGCACCCCUUGGUGUGCGGAGUGAGGUUUGCACCUGGCAGUAUUUGUGUAGUUUGUACACUGUAAACCCACAUUUUAUAUGGACCCAAAUACAUUAGGUCUCUUGGACAGAAAUAUAAUGAUUUCCCGUUUGAAACCCAAACAUUUUAGAUAAACGGAACCUUUUUGACCACUUUGUACAUACAACCUGUAUCUUUGGACUGAAUUAAUCAAACAAUUUGUACCAUUGCUAAAUGGAAAGAUUUCAUUGGCUAGUUUGAAGGCCAGAUGCCCCGCUCAGCAAUGUUUCUGAAGCGAGAACGUGCGGAGGUGUGAGCUUUUGAUGACGAAGAGCGAGGGGAAGAUGGAAAUAUAACAACGACAAAUGAGAGAAAGAAGAGGAAGAAAAGGAGGGAAAGAAGAAAAGGAACGCUGAGGUUUUUAUGAGAGUUUCUCCGUGGACAAGUUCUGCAGAUUCUGCAUGGCAUCGAGGAGUGAGGCACAACAAAAAGAGAUGGCAUCAUCAACCACCAUGAGAGUCAUCCUAACUGAAGCCGAUGUCUGAAAAUUGAAGCUAACCUCAAGGCCUA
ensembl:lncRNA